UUUCUCUUCUCUCUAGAAGAGGAAUGGUUUGGAGCAACCCAUCCUGGAGUGGGAUGGGAGCUCACUCUCCCUGCUGCCCUGGUUGUUUUUGGUGUGAUAUUACUAUGGAGGACCGUCCUUGCGGUAAACUUUUUGUAUUAUUACCAUGUUACMACAAUUUUCAUACACUUCAAUUUCCCAUGGAAAUGAAAKGAAUUGAGGGAAAGGCUCAUUUUGCAGUUUGAUUGAUCUUCUAAUGAUGUAUGAUGUAGUCCAUGUUUAAACGUUGUUCUCAUUGCCUUGUCUCUGUUUCUCAUAGAUCAAAAGCAGGAUACGUCUAUGUGAGUUUUCCUACCUUUCAUUAAGUAGCUCAGAUGAGGAGAAGAAAGCUUUUGUACUUACAUUUUAUACAGUAGAUGUAGCUCCUUAGUCAUGCCUGAACCAAGACUAAWUUCAUAUUCCCAUCUGUAUCKCCAGUGACUGAGACACAGCUAAACGUGAAACUCGCCCAGCUAUCGAAAAASAAAUGUGACAUAAUGAUUCAAUUGUCUGAAAUGGAGAUACUGGACUAUGACGCRCCAGUGAAAAGGUUGCGGGCAUGCCUGCAGUCCUCUCAAGAGGAUAGUCAGGAGCUGGAGGAUAUGAAGAAACAAUGGGACAUCAGAGCUGGAGAAAUGGAGGCAUUUCAUCUCCAGCUCCAGGAGCGUGUUGAACGCAUACAGAAACUGAAAGCUGUUUGGGGACCGAUGGAACCACUUAAAGAGCAUCACGGUGGGGAUGCCAGGAUCCCUAGUGCCACCAACACCCAAUCUACCGUUACAGAGAUCAAGAGUGAGGAAAACAUUGAGAUCGAGGUCACUGUGAUGAAGGAUGCAAGCUUAAUCAACACCACAGUGGAGGAGGUGAACAGGGGUCUUCAGGACAAAAAUUGUCAGCUUGAAGAGAAGAAUGCCGCUCUACAUCAAAAACUCCACAGCACUGAGAAGAUGUAUAGACAGACUCUAAACRAG
rnacentral:lncRNA from 1 species